UACGGGAGGGGCAAGCGUUGUUCGGAAUUACUGGGCGUAAAGGGCUCGUAGGUGGCCAACUAAGUCAGACGUGAAAUCCCUCGGCUUAACCGGGGAACUGCGUCUGAUACUGGAUGGCUUGAGUUCGGGAGAGGGAUGCGGAAUUCCAGGUGUAGCGGUGAAAUGCGUAGAUAUCUGGAGGAACACCGGUGGCGAAGGCGGCAUCCUGGACCAACACUGACACUGAGGAGCGAAAGCCAGGGGAGCAAACGGG
rnacentral:rRNA from 1 species